AUACAAAUCACAACAGGGGAUCUUGUUAAAAUGGAAAUUCUCCUUCAGUGUAUUUGGGGGAAGGUCCAGAUUCUACAUUUCUAACAAGGUCCCAAGGGGUGCCAGU
rnacentral:miRNA from 1 species